AGAGUUUGAUCCUGGCUCAGAAUGAACGCUAGCGGCGUGCUUAACACAUGCAAGUCGUACGAGAACUCUUUAGCUUGCUAAAGAUAGUAAAGUGGCGCACGGGUGAGUAACGCGUGGGUAAUUUACCUCUGAAUUUGGGAUAACUCCGCGAAAGCGGGGCUAAUACCGGAUAAUAUUUCAGGAUCUUCGGGUUUUGAAAUCAAAAGUGGCCUCUGCAUGUAAGCUACUGUUUGGAGAUGAGCCCGCGUACCAUUAGCUUGUUGGUAGGGUAAUGGCCUACCAAGGCUACGAUGGUUAGCUGGUCUGAGAGGAUGAUCAGCCACACUGGAACUGACACACGGUCCAGACUCCUACGGGAGGCAGCAGUGGGGAAUUUUGCGCAAUGGGGGAAACCCUGACGCAGCAACGCCGCGUGAGUGAUGAAGGCUUUCGGGUCGUAAAGCUCUGUCAAGUGGGAAGAACAUGAGAAAUGUUAAUAUCAUUUUUCACUGACGGUACCACUGAAGGAAGCACCGGCUAACUCCGUGCCAGCAGCCGCGGUAAUACGGGGGGUGCAAGCGUUAUUCGGAAUUAUUGGGCGUAAAGGGCGCGUAGGCGGUCUUUUAAGUCAGAUGUGAAAGCUCGGGGCUUAACCCCGGAAGUGCAUUUGAAACUGAAAGACUUGAGUAUGGGAGAGGGAAGUGGAAUUCCUGGUGUAGAGGUGAAAUUCGUAGAUAUCAGGAGGAACACCGGUGGCGAAGGCGACUUCCUGGACCAAUACUGACGCUGAGGCGCGAAAGGCGUGGGGAGCAAACAGGAUUAGAUACCCUGGUAGUCCACGCAGUAAACGAUGAACACUAGGUGUAGCGGGUAUUGACCCCUGCUGUGCCGCAGUUAACGCAUUAAGUGUUCCGUCUGGGGAGUACGACCGCAAGGUUAAAACUCAAAGGAAUUGACGG
rnacentral:rRNA from 1 species